AAAAAACAUCAUCAACAUGCCCACUCGCUUGCUGUGAAUUCUCCGCACAAUUACCUGCUCUAUUCACACAUGGGCUCAAUCGAGGUUAGGACUCUGUAU